AUGAAUUUCAAGUUCCACAAAUGGGAGCCUUUCAGGAUCAAAAUAUUAGGGCCAUUUCUGCUGCUGGUCCAUGCUCACACUCAGCACUUCAGCUGGCAGCUGCCUGCAGGCACCAGAGGAUGCCCAAGCAUCUGUCUUUCACUGAAAUGGAGGAUACUUUUUCAGAGGGGCUUUGAGGCCACGUGGGUUGCCCCCCAGCGCCAGCGCAGUGCUGCUCCUCCUGCUUCACUGGAUACUUCCCUGGACUCAGAGAUGAUAUUUUCACAUGGCCACUGUAGCAGCCUUUCCACAUGUGCCACUGGAGAGGAUGCUUCACAGUCCCCAGGAUCAUCUCCUUGUGAUACAGGACGAACGACUCAGCCAGCAGCAACCACCUUCUUCCAAGGAAAAACGCAAAAAAGCCACUGCAGAGUACAGGGGACAGAGUAAGACAGCACUCAGUGUCACUGGGAAAAGUGUGGGAAAGGAAGAGCCCCUUAUGGUAUGGAGGUAGGAUGUAUGGAGACCAUUGCCAGCGAACUCUUCCCCCACAGCAAUGCCUUGCAAGUGUCGUGGUCAUCUGCAAGUGACAACAGAGACACAUCUUGCUCUCAACUGCAUCUCAUCACAUCGCAUCAGCGUGUAACUGCACUCAUAGAGUCUCCCACAUCCAAAGAGAACUGGCUCUGCACUGAAAAUGUCCCCUGUUACACCCACAGGAACUCUGGAUGCAGGAAAUACUCUGUCAAAAUGGAAUGGUCCAGGUUAUGGCUUGAUUGAACGAUUUAUCAUUUUUGAAAGGCAUGACAGCUGGUGUGAACUUUUGUAUCAGGUAUCAGCGUUCCCCACUCCAAAUACUUCCAUGUGACUGGCUUUGGUUAAAGAAGGCACUCUUGCUGAAUUUAAUUAGCUGGAAACACAAUUUAAGGGCAGAAACCAUCCCUUCUUGUUACCAAGGAAGAUGGCCUGGAGCGUUGCUCUGUGCCCAAGAGUCUCCCUAGCACAGCUUUCUGGCUGAGAAAACAAUGUGCUACAUCCAGGAAAAAUAUGAAGGCUAUAUCCGUGCCUAGAAACUGUCACACUGGUAUCUUUAUAAAUUGUACUGAUGUAAAAACAAAGUGCCUUAAUUUAAUUACUUGUGUUUUCCUUGGUUAGUGUAAGACAAGUUCGGGGAGGGGGGGUAUCUGAGGACCUUUUUCCUAUCAAACUAUCUUGAAAGGCCGAGGCCUCUAAGCAGACCCUGUCUGCUCUGCAGAGAUAUAGACACACACUUUUUGAGCAGACCCAUGCCCCAAGCGUGUGAGGGCAGUGCAUCCCCCUGCCACAAAUCUGCAGGGAAAGAGGGAGAGAGAGCUUCCCCUGGCUUGAUGCUGCUCCAUGGGCUGGUGUGGUGGCAGGAGCAUAGGGUUCCCUGCACCACACAGCUGAGAGGCUGCUGUGCCCUUGCGAGGAGGUAGAUGAGGCUUUAGUAAGAGGGUAAUAAUGGUUUCUAACCCUUCUGCUGGUCACGCAGAGGAAGAAGACUCUUUGCAGCCAUAUAUCUUAGUAGAAGGUGCACCAAGUAUGGAAACGCAUCUUGAAGGAAAACAGGUGCUUUCAUUUGGCAUUUCUGAAAAAAAUAAAUGGAUGCUGACAAUCCA
rnacentral:lncRNA from 1 species